CAGUUCGGUCCCUAUCUGCCGUGGACGUUGGAGAUUUGAGGAAAGCUGCUCCUAGUACGAGAGGACCGGAGUGGACGAACCUCUGGUGUUCGGGUUGUGACGCCAGUCGCAUUGCCCGGUAGCUAUGUUCGGACAGGAUAACCGCUGAAAGCAUCUAAGCGGGAAGCCCCUUCCAAGAUGAGAUCUCCCUGGACCCUCGAGGUCCCUGAAGAGCCGUUCAAGACCAGGACGUUGAUAGGCAGGGUGUGGA
rnacentral:rRNA from 1 species